rnacentral:rRNA from 1 species
UACGUAGGGGGCAAGCGUUGUCCGGAUUUAUUGGGCGUAAAGAGCGUGUAGGCGGCUAUACAGGUCCGCUGUGAAAACUCGAGGCUCAACCUCGAGACGUCGGUGGAAACCGUAUGGCUAGAGUCCGGAAGAGGUGAGUGGAACUCCUAGUGUAGAGGUGGAAUUCGUAGAUAUUAGGAAGAACACCAGUGGCGAAGGCGGCUCACUGGUCCGGUACUGACGCUGAGGUGCGAAAGCGUGGGGAGCAAACAGG